rnacentral:rRNA from 1 species
GAUGAACGCUGGCGGCGUACUUAACACAUGCAAGUCGAACGGGAAAUAUUUCAUUGAGACUUCGGUGGAUUUGAUUUAUUUCUAGUGGCGGACGGGUGAGUAACGCGUGGGUAACCUGCCUUAUACAGGGGGAUAACAGUCAGAAAUGGCUGCUAAUACCGCAUAAGCGCACAGAGCUGCAUGGCUCAGUGUGAAAAACUCCGGUGGUAUAAGAUGGACCCGCGUUGGAUUAGCUAGUUGGUGGGGUAACGGCCCACCAAGGCGACGAUCCAUAGCCGGCCUGAGAGGGUGAACGGCCACAUUGGGACUGAGACACGGCCCAGACUCCUACGGGAGGCAGCAGUGGGGAAUAUUGCACAAUGGGGGAAACCCUGAUGCAGCGACGCCGCGUGAAGGAAGAAGUAUCUCGGUAUGUAAACUUCUAUCAGCAGGGAAGAUAGUGACGGUACCUGACUAAGAAGCCCCGGCUAACUACGUG